GGCGACCGCACGGGCGGGGGGAGAGCGGCGGGAGGAGGGACUAGAGGCAGAGACACUGCCCCCUACUUCAGCGAGGUCGUCGCCCGAGCCGGUGGAGCCGCCGGUUUGGGUUUUGGGAGGAGGCGCGGCGCGGGCUCGGCAGCCGCGGCUGGGCGCCAGCUCGGUACCUGGCAGGCCGGCCGCCCGGGGCGCGGAGGGUGUGAGCGCGCGCGCCCCCUCCGUGCCCGCUCGCCUCGCGCGCGUCUCGGGGGAGGCUCCGCCGCCAGGCGCCCGGGGAGCCUGCAGCCUCAGUCCCUGCCGCCCGCGGAGCUUUGUGCAGCGGCGGCGGCGGCGUCGGCUCCGAAUCCCACCUGCUGGCGGCGGAGAGACAAGGAAGGGGAAGAAGGAGGAGGAGGAGGGGACAGAGGCGGCAGCGCGAGCCCACUCCCACCGCCCGCGCCCACCUCCCGGGGGCUCUGCAGUCCCCGCUCUCGGCCUGCACGCGCCCCCGCCCCCGGCCCGGCCCGGCCUCCCGGCCACACCGCGGCCACCGCGGCUGCAGCCCCUUCUGCCCGGCCCGGCCCCCGCCACCCGGAGCCGCCGGCGAGUUUGCGGCGAGCGCGGGGCGCGCGGCGCCGCCUCGAUGCGUCCGGGAGCCGCCUCGGCGCCCCAGCCCCGCUGAACAGUCCCGAGAGCGCCGCGGCCAGCCCGGGAGGGCGAGCGGGGAGGCGCGGGGUGACUCGGCCGGCCCCGGAGACGGAGAGCAGGCGGGCGAGGAGGAGUGAGCCGGAGAGCGAGCGCCGGGAGCAGGCACCAUGCCGGGGUGGAAGAAGAAUAUCCCCAUCUGCUUGCAGGCGGAAGAGCAGGAGAGAGGUUAAGGAUGCAAAUCCAUAACAAGACCAGCUGGCCUGUGUGACCUGACCAUGCCUACCUUUCCUUCAUUUCCUGAACAUACCACAGAUAUUCCCACAUGCCAUGCAUGUGAUCAGGACAGUUUUAGCCAGUUCCUCCUCACCCUACCAUUGUAGCUGAUCCCUAGUAUUAGGGACAUAUAUUUAUAUUUUGUCUCUUCUCAUUUGAAAUUUCACUAAUGCUACUAUGAAGAGGAUGGUUCAUCAGAUCUAUUUUUUGUGUGUGCGUAUUUCCUAUAUCCAGAAAAUUAGAGAAGUAAUUUUAUAUUCUGUAUGACAUCGAG
rnacentral:lncRNA from 1 species